AACGAACGCUGGCGGCAUGCCUAACACAUGCAAGUCGAACGAGACCUUCGGGUCUAUUGGCGCACGGGUGCGUAACGCGUGGGAACCUGCCCUUAGGUUCGGAAUAACUCCCCGAAAGGGGUGCUAAUACCGGAUAAUGUCUUCGGACCAAAGAUUUAUCGCCUCUGGAUGGGCCCGCGUUGGAUUAGCUAGUUGGUAGUGUAAAAGCCUACCAAGGCGACGAUCCAUAGCUGGUCUGAGAGGAUGAUCAGCCACACUGGGACUGAGACACGGCCCAGACUGCUACGGAAGGCAGCAGUGGGGAAUAUUGGACAAUGGGCGAAAGCCUGAUCCAGCAAUGCCGCGUGAGUGAUGAAGGCCUUAGGGUUGUAAAGCUCUUUUACCCGGGAUGAUAAUGACAGUACCGGGAGAAUAAGCUCCGGCUAACUCCGUG
rnacentral:rRNA from 1 species